CGUGUAGGCGGUUGGUCAAGUCGGGUGUGAAAGCCUGGGGCUCAGCCCCAGAAGUGCAUCCGAAACUAGCCAGCUAGAGCGCGAUAGAGGAGGGUGGAAUUCCUGGUGUAGCGGUGAAAUGCGUAGAUAUCAGGAGGAACACCGGCGGCGAAGGCGGCCCUCUGGAUCGUUGCUGACGCUGAGACGCGAAAGCGCGGGGAGCAAACAGGAUUAGAUACCCUGGUAGUCCACGCCUUAAACGAUGGGUACUAGGUGUUCGGGGUGUUGACCCCCUGAGUGCCGCAGUUAACGCAUUAAGUACCCCGCCUGGGGACUACGACCGCAAGGUUAAA
rnacentral:rRNA from 1 species